rnacentral:tRNA from 1 species
AAUAAAGUGGCUGAGUUUAAAGCGGUGAAUUGUAAAUUCAUUAACAAGUAUAACUUCUUUAUUA